AUCUUUUUGUAAUUCCUAAGCAUGAUGGUUGAUUCGGCUCUCACACUUGAUGAUUGGGCUUUCACUUGGAUCUGUGAGAUGUGCCUCCCUCAACCCUUCCUGCGAAGUCAGCACAUUACCUGACAGAAA
rfam:Homo sapiens chromosome 7, GRCh38 reference primary assembly.